rnacentral:rRNA from 1 species
GACGAACGCUGGCGGCGUGCCUAACACAUGCAAGUCGAACGGGGUAGAGAGCUUCGGUUUUCUACUUAGUGGCGAACGGGUGAGUAACGCGUGAGGAACCUGCCUUCCAGUGGGGGACAACAGUUGGAAACGACUGCUAAUACCGCAUAAUGUAGCGAGAUCGCAUGGCCUUGCUACCAAAGCUUUAUGUGCUGGAAGAUGGACUCGCGUCUGAUUAGCUAGUUGGUGGGGUAACGGCCCACCAAGGCGACGAUCAGUAGCCGGUCUGAGAGGAUGAACGGCCACAUUGGGACUGAGAUACGGCCCAGACUCCUACGGGAGGCAGCAGUGGGGAAUAUUGGGCAAUGGGGGAAACCCUGACCCAGCAACGCCGCGUGAAGGAAGAAGGCCCUCGGGUUGUAAACUUCUUUUAGCAGGGACGAAGGACGUGACGGUACCUGCAGAAAAAGCAACGGCUAACUACGUGCCAGCCGCCGCCGUAAAAC